AGAAAUUUAGGUUAACAUCAGACCAAAAGCCUUCAAAGCUUUAAGUAGAAGUGAAAAUCCUCUAAUUUCUG
rnacentral:tRNA from 1 species